GCAAGUCGAGCGGUAACAGAAAUUAGCUUGCUAAUUUGCUGACGAGCGGCGGACGGGUGAGUAAUGCUUGGGAAUAUGCCUUAGUGUGGGGGAUAACUAUUGGAAACGAUAGCUAAUACCGCAUAAUGUCUUCGGACCAAAGGGGGGGAUCUUCGGACCUCUCGCGUCAAGAUAUGCCUAGGUGGGAUUAGCUAGUUGGUGAGGUAAUGGCUCACCAAGGCGACGAUCCCUAGCUGGUCUGAGAGGAUGAUC
rnacentral:rRNA from 1 species